rfam:Dipodomys ordii contig_5715, whole genome shotgun sequence.
GGGAAUGUGGCUUAGUGGUAGAGUGCUUGCCUAGCAUGCAUGAUGCCCUGGGUUAAAUUCCUCAGUACCA